GCACCAAUUAUGCUAAUAAAUUGGCACGUUAGCACGUUACUGCAAUAUCCCAUAGUACAUACAUGUUAUUAAAACUUGAACUAAUGCAUUGUGAGUCUUAUAAAUUGCUUACAUACCUCACCGAUUUCCCACUGUUUGGAAAACGCUCGGUUUAGUUCCUGUCUCCGCCUCCCAAAAUGUCUAGUGUAAUCGGAUUGGUCAGAUGACUACUCAACUGUUAUUGGUCAGCUGGGUUCGGCGUGUGUUUGAAAGGUUACGCCCCUGACUACGCGUGGGUUUUCCGGUUCUGACUGAGAGUCACAGCCUCAGAGGCAACGUAAACAAGCGUUAUAUUUCUCUAUAAACGAUGGUGUCUGUACUGCCUUACCACUUAGAGCUCGAUCCAGAGAGUUCAGAAGGCCGUUACGAUAUAAACGAUCUCCGUCAAUGAAUGCGAUUGGAUUUAACUUUUUUAGGUGUCCUUAUCUCUGCCAGAAUGCUAAACGAAGACGAAAAUGUGUUGCAAAGACAUCCAAAAGCUUUUAAGGAGAAUGCAACAGGUUCCAGGGCCUCUUACCUGCGUGAUUCAUCAUCCAGGUUUUGCACAAAUUGUCUAAAUCCCUACACACAGAACAUUUAUUGUACCGACUAUAAGCCUUUGAGGCGCAGGACUAGAAUAUGCUUGGAGCUUCCUGAUCGGAAUGUUGGCUUCCGACGACCCCUACACUGAAGAUGGCAUGCAAUCACGUCCUCUUUUGAAGGUCUCUCAAACUGUGAUGCCAGGUCCAUUGGAAUCGGGGUUUCCUUCAGCUUAUCUUCAAAUACCUCAUCAAACACAAGCCUGAUCACAUCAUCCACAUAACUGUACAAAUAUUGCAGUCAAUAAAUCUUUUGUUUUGAUCAUUUA